UACGGAGGGUGCAAGCGUUGUCCGGAAUCACUGGGUGUAAAGGGUGUGCAGGCGGACUAGCAAGUCAGCGGUGAAAGCCCCCGGCUCAACCGGGGAAUGGCCCCUGAUACUGUUAGUCUUGAGUCCCGGAGAGGUCAUCGGAAUUCGUGGUGUAGCGGUGAAAUGCGUAGAUAUCACGAGGAACACCAGAGGCGUAAGCGGAUGACUGGACGGGUACUGACGCUCAGGCACGAAAGCGUGGGGAGCAAACAGG
rnacentral:misc_RNA from 1 species